GAAGACAACGGGAAAUGGAACUCU
rnacentral:piRNA from 1 species